AUUCAUUGUAACGUUAACUCUUUUCUUCAACUUUUCUAAAUUAUUGUUGUCGUUCGUAGACUAACCAUGUUCCGUACAAAACGAUGUUCCGUACAGGUGACGUUUUAGCGCCGAUUGCAGAAUAAAUAAUUACAGUUCGUACAUAAACUAUAUAUCUGUGUCAUCCUUAUGUUUCUCUCUUUCACUCCCGAUCUAAACAGAGACCAAUCCGCUGUUUGUUUCAGUAAUAUUUGAGUAAGUUUGCUCGUUGCGCCCACCGCGCUUGUAAAUGGACAGUGGGGAAGAUUUACUUCAAAACUUCAGCUUGGGAGGAAGACAACUAGAGCAGCGAAAAUGUACAUUUCUAUUCCACUUAUGUUUCUCACAGUACUACAGCCUUUAUUAAAUGAAUAUUAUGUUAUCACAAAUUGUUAAAUAUAUUACUUUUUGUUGAAUAAAUGCUUUGAAAUGGGAGUGUUUAAGCAUCGAUUGCGGGCGAUAACCACUUAGCGUCACCCUCACCUGAGACUGGCGGCAGAGAUCUCUUACUUUAUGAAGUUUUCACAUUGGUUAACCUUUUUUUUUUAAUUAAUCAGUGCCCUUCUCGUUUUCUGCAUCUUCAGAAAGAUAAGGAAAUUAUGUUCUCUAACCUUUCACAUAGUUCAUGCUUAACUCACAUGUCAUAAUUAAUAUCACGACACAAUCAUGCCUAACUCGCAUGCGCCCUUUAUUAAAGCAGCCAUUAACUUGUAUUUUGAUCAAAUAAAAAGGUAAUAAUCUUUGAUAUUUAUUGGAAUUAUGUUUUCUUGCAGUUAAAAUAAAUAAACAGCUCACUUUUGAUAAGUUAAAUGUCCAUUUUCGCCGAUAAAAUCAAGUAAUAAGCGCUGUACGGAACAUCAUUAUAAGCCUGUACGGAACACCGUUAACCCCUAUCAUCUUCCGUACACUGGCGGAGGUGGUACUUUUCCCCAGUUUUCUCAAAAACUAUUGGUCCUAAAGACAUCAAUCAAAGUGUAGACUGUGUAAUAGGUAUUCCCCCGGAGAAUGAGCACACAAGCAUGCUUGUAUGUCUUUUUAAAACGGAGGAGUGGUCACUGGCGUGCGGUGAAUAGCGAAAAGUGUACGGAACAUGAAAAUCCAGUAUGACUUCUCUAAAAAUCUCAAAGGAUUCACAGGGCAGCACUAUUUAAUAAAGAAAUGUGGCUCUGUAGUGGACACCUGUGAGGCAGUGGACAGACAGCUGCUGAAGUCUGAUGCUGGCCGACAAUAAACAGACCUCUCUGGAUGUACCCCAUCUUUUGUAGUUUCCAGAGUAAUUCUAACAUUGCCCUUCCUGUAACAUGAUGAUCCUGCUGUCCUGGACUGUAUAUGAUGAGCCUACACAUAAUCUCAGAACAGCUGUGGUAAUAACAAGAGCCCCAUUUGGUGAGAGCAGCACUGCAGUCUUUCCUGAUGGAGGAGAUCAUGGACCAUUUGCAUAAGACUGAUGAUGCGUUUCAGCGGCCAUCAGCAUCGUAAAUCCUCACCAUUCUUUUAUAUUUUGAUUUUUUUAUUUUUUAUUAUGUGCAUUAAUAACACUAUACUUUGUAUUAUCUUACAUUUGUGUCAAAUUACAAAAAAAAAUAGCUAAUGCAAGAGUGUUUCAAAUCCAGAGUCUUUGGGAGGAAUGAUAAAUUUGACAUUGUUCUCUCUUCUGACUGCUGUUAUCAGUCUCUGUCAGAUUUUUUCCUUUGAUUGAAAGUUGUGAAAAUGCUAUCUUUAGAGUUUAUGUUUUAUUAUUUGAGUAAAUAAGAAUGCAAAAAUAUAUUUGUGAUACUCUCCCAUUCACUGCUCUCGAAGUUAUUCUUCCAAUCAGUUACCACAAUUUAGAACAGGAAAGAAAAUGUUACUAUGAAUUGCAUUGUGUCUAAAAUUGAAUUGAAUUUAUUAAUUUAAAUUGUAUCAUUGUUUUAGGUACAUGAAAUGUUUUUUAAAGUUCUAAGAUAAUUGAGUCCCAUUUAUUUGAUAAUAAUUUUACCAAGGUGUAAAUUUUUUUUUGUUGUUGUUAUUUGUUUAUAGCAAUAUUAACACUGAUGUGUCCAUGAAUGGGAUUGUGAUGUGCAGUAUUGACUAUUUAAGGUGAUUAUGGAUAUUGUUGUUGCUUAUCAAUAAACUAUGUUUUAUAUGCAUUUGAUUUAUUUUUUCAGUUUGUUUUUUUAAAUCAUUAAAAAUGUCAAUAGCAGGAAAAAUAAAUAAACCAGUGUUGGGGUGGAAUUAGGGAAAUGGUGCCUUGAAGCACCCCAGGUGGUUCCUGGCCAUCCUAAUAAAAGGGUUCCUCCAGGAACCAUUGAAAGUUCCUCAGAGAACCACCCCCAUUUAGAGUGGUGCCUAGAAGCUCUUCAGAGGGUUCCGCCGGCGUGGCGAAGUGAAGAACCCCAAAAGGUGCCUCCAGGAACCUUUAGUUUUUACAGUGAUACAGAAAACCUUUUUCAUUUAUUUUGGAGAUGUCCUUGCUCAACCAAUUUUUUGGUCAGAUUUCUGCUCAAUUGAAAGAAAAAAUAUUUUUGUAAGAAAAUAUAUUUUGCCCAGCUUUCAACUUUGUUUUGAAAAUGUUUAAUUUGUUUUUUUUUCAUUUAUGACAUGUCAUUUCAUAAGGAAUACUUUUUGAUUAAUUAAUUACUAUUGCUGGCCAAGUUUAGUAUUCAUAAAUGCAAAUACAGAAAUUAUAAACCAUUGUUUAUUAUUUUGAAAUCAGAAAUUAAUCAAUACCUAAAAUCUAUUUACAAUCUGAUAAACAAGAAAGCUGUUAAGUGUAUUAAUGUAUGUAAACAUUUCCAUAUCUUUUUUUUAUUUUUAUUUUGUAAUUUUGUAUUUCUUUUGCUUUGUGUUCACCCCCUGGCUACUGUAAAAUGUUUAAUAUGAAUGAUUCAAUAAAAAAGAAAAAAAAAGCGAAACAUUAAUAAAACAUAAAAAAAAAAGAUUUCAUUCGUAGAGAGCAUGGUUACUCACUGAAAAAUUCUGCAUACUAAUAAAAUUAAAGAGGUACAUUUUAACAUUUUGCAUAUUGUUUAUCCAACGAACUCUCAAAUUGCAAAUUCUUUGGAUCUUUCUAACUUAUGUGUGUUCUGCAAAGUUGAAGAAGAAACUUUACUACAUUUAUUCUAUUAUUGCAAUCAGGUUAAGUCUUUUUGGGAGAACUUAAGUUGUCAUUUAUCUUAUUUUAUAAAAUGUGAUUUAAAAUUCUCAUUGAAAGAUAUGUUGUCGAUCUUGUUGUCAACGUUUUUGUUUUGCAUUGUACAUUUUUUAUUCAUAAAUCAAAAUGUCUCAUAAAUUACCUAGAUUUGAUGUCUUCCUUUUUUUGCUUUGUUUUGUUUUGCUGAGAUUUUGCUUAUUGUUAAAUCUCUUAAACACAUUAGUAAUAAGAAUAACAAGUUUAUUAAGGCUUAUGAUGAUACUUAAAGAAUGAUUUUCCUGUCUUCAUUUUUUUUUUUGGCAUUUUUAUUACCAAUUAUAGCCGAUAACCACAGUUUUACUACAAAUACCAUGGUUAAAAUAUGAUUAGUGUAGCAACAUGUUUUUAACAUGGUUUAACUAGUAACAAAUAACCCAUGUUUCGUAUUUUAUAUACAUAUUUUAAUUAUAUUUUCAAUAGUCAUUCGUUACAUAUAUAUAUAUAUAUAUAUAUAUAUCCCUCUGGGGUUCUUCAUUUAUGAGUCACACUCAGGACCUUCGGGACCCGGAGGGCGGGAUUCAGGUAUACUUUUUUUCAGUAAAAUCAAUCUAAUGUAUUUUUGUUCAAUAAUUUUUUUUUCUUUCUUUUUUGGUGUUUUGAG